rnacentral:rRNA from 1 species
AGAGUUUGAUCCUGGCUCAGGACGAACGCUGGCGGCGCGCCUAACACAUGCAAGUCGAACGAGCGAGAGAGAGCUUGCUUUCUCGAGCGAGUGGCGAACGGGUGAGUAACGCGUGAGGAAUCUGCCUCAAAGAGGGGGACAACAGUUGGAAACGACUGCUAAUACCGCAUAAGCCCACGGUGCCGCAUGGCACAGAGGGAAAAGGAGCAAUCCGCUUUGAGAUGGCCUCGCGUCCGAUUAGCUAGUUGGUGAGGUAAUGGCCCACCAAGGCAACGAUCGGUAGCCGGACUGAGAGGUUGAACGGCCACAUUGGGACUGAGACACGGCCCAGACUCCUACGGGAGGCAGCAGUGGGGAAUAUUGCACAAUGGGGGAAACCCUGAUGCAGCGACGCCGCGUGGAGGAAGAAGGUCUUCGGAUUGUAAACUCCUGUUGUUGGGGAAGAUAAUGACGGUACCCAACAAGGAAGUGACGGCUAACUACGUGCCAGCAGCCGCGGUAAAACGUAGGUCACAAGCGUUGUCCGGAAUUACUGGGUGUAAAGGGAGCGCAGGCGGGAAGACAAGUUGGAAGUGAAAUCUAUGGGCUCAACCCAUAAACUGCUUUCAAAACUGUUUUUCUUGAGUAGUGCAGAGGUAGGGGAAUUCCCGGUGUAGCGGUGGAAUGCGUAGAUAUCGGGAGGAACACCAGCGGCGAAGGCGGCCUACUGGGCACCAACUGACGCUGAGGCUCGAAAGUGUGGGUAGCAAACAGGAUUAGAUACCCUGGUAGUCCACACCGUAAACGAUGAUUACUAGGUGUUGGAGGAUUGACCCCUUCAGUGCCGCAGUUAACACAAUAAGUAAUCCACCUGGGGAGUACGACCGCAAGGUUGAAACUCAAAGGAAUUGACGGGGGCCCGCACAAGCAGUGGAGUAUGUGGUUUAAUUCGACGCAACGCGAAGAACCUUACCAAGUCUUGACAUCCCUUGACAGGCAUAGAAAUAUGUUUUCUCUUCGGAGCAAGGAGACAGGUGGUGCAUGGUUGUCGUCAGCUCGUGUCGUGAGAUGUUGGGUUAAGUCCCGCAACGAGCGCAACCCUUAUGGUCAGUUACUACGCAAGAGGACUCUGGCCAGACUGCCGUUGACAAAACGGAGGAAGGUGGGGAUGACGUCAAAUCAUCAUGCCCUUUAUGACUUGGGCUACACACGUACUACAAUGGCGUUAAACAAAGAGAAGCAAGACCGCGAGGUGGAGCAAAACUCAAAAACAACGUCUCAGUUCAGAUUGCAGGCUGCAACUCGCCUGCAUGAAGUCGGAAUUGCUAGUAAUCGCGGAUCAGCAUGCCGCGGUGAAUACGUUCCCGGGCCUUGUACACACCGCCCGUCA